rnacentral:misc_RNA from 1 species
GCAGCCUUUACAUGUGAAAAUGUGUUAGGAGAGGUAUACCAAACCCCAUCCACCAAAACACUGGAUCUAAAGAGGGGUGCAUGCGGAGGGCCUGCAUUGACAGUGUGAUAAACAGGACGACCUAGGGACGACCGCUGGGUCAACUCUUGUAGGCGAUUCUUGUGAAUGAAUUCCACAUGAAUAUAUCGACGCCGUCCUUUUUCAGUUUCAGAAAUGUUUGGUUGAGGAUUUUGAAUAAUCACAUGUUCGGCCAUUUUGAUGGACUGUUCAGAACUUUGAGUCACAGAAUUCACUUCGGCCAUUUUGAUGGGCUGUUCAGAACUUUGAGUCACAGUAUUCACUUCGGCCAUUUCGAUGGGCUGUUCAGAACAUUUAGUCACAGUAUUCACUUCGGCCAUUUCGAUGGGCUGUUCAGAACAUUUAGUCACAGUAUUCACUUCGGCCAUUUCGAUGGGCUGUUCAGAACAUUU